UGGGGAAUAUUGGACAAUGGGGGAAGCCCUGAUCCAGCAAUGCCGCGUGAGUGAAGAAGGCCUUAGGGUUGUAAAGCUCUUUCGCCCGCGAAGAUAAUGACGGUAGCGGGAGAAGAAGCCCCGGCUAACUCCGUGCCAGCAGCCGCGGUAAUACGGAGGGGGCUAGCGUUGUUCGGAAUUACUGGGCGUAAAGCGUACGUAGGCGGAUGCGCAAGUUGGGGGUGAAAUCCCGGGGCUUAACCUCGGAAUUGCCCUCAAAACUGCACGUCUUGAGACCGAGAGAGGUAAGGGGAAUGCCUAGUGUAGAGGUGAAAUUCGUAGAUAUUAGGAAGAACACCAGUGGCGAAGGCGCCUUACUGGCUCGGUACUGACGCUGAGGUACGAAAGCGUGGGGAGCAAACA
rnacentral:rRNA from 1 species